GUCACAUCUUGUUGAAACACCGUUUCCCAUACGAUCACUGAAGUUAAGAAACAUCGAGCCUGGUUUGUAUUUAGAUGGGUGACUGCUAGAGAAUACAAGGUGUU